GGAAGGUCAUGGACAGUCAUGGCAAAGCAGGUGGUGCUCAGUUAGUCACCAGACCAAGGUGUAAAGGAAUUCCUACAGGAGGAGAUCGACCCUCUGUUGACACUGGUCCACUCUACCACAUACUGUGGGUGAUGUGUUUGCUGACUAAUAUGAUUUUUUUUCUUUUUUUGGUAACAGAUGUGACUGUUUUUCUUCUGACCUAUCAGUGACCCCCAUCAGUCAAGCUGAUUAACCAAUGACUCUAAUAAAUAAUACUCGACGAGAGGAGGCGGCGGCUCCUCCAUCAACAUGAGAGCUAUGCACUAAAGAGGCGCACAGAUCUGACAGCGAGCCUCACUCACCUCAGAACAAGGAAAUGUGAACACUGCAUAUCCAAGUAAAUCUACACACGUUUGUGAUGCGACACCACUCGCAGCUCGCCAUUGUGGUUGCUGACUGGCCAGACAAGGACAGCUAAAAGCAAUAAUGGCUGCUCUCUCCUCGAUUAUACUGUACUGUAUGUCAGAUCCUGCCUUGAUUUUAUUCAUGUAAGAGCCUUUACGACACAGUAAUACAGUUCAAAAGCACUUCAUAUUUGUGGGUGGUGUCAACAUUUGAAUAACCCUCUAGUUUUAGAGGUUUGUGGAACCUGCAGGUUCUCUGAACAGUGCUGUUGGCUUCUUAGGCCCCCCUGUACCGACUUCAGCUGCCUGCUCCUGCUCGUCUGCAUUCACCUGCUCUGUUUAUUUUCAUGUGAACACUGUAUAUUUGUUGGCGGAACAAAGCUCUGGAGGAUAUUUCAUUUGCAAAUGAGGCACUGAGAUGCU